rnacentral:RNase_P_RNA from 1 species
UGAGCAGAUUGGGCAGUUGCGUGCAUCAGAGGAUGCACGAGGAAAGUCCGAGCUCCACAGAGCAGGAUAGCGGCUAACAGCCGCCGAGGGUGACCUUAGGGAAAGUGCAACAGAGAUAUACCGCCCGAUUUAUCGGGUAAGGGUGGAAAGGCGAGGUAAGAGCUCACCGGCGUGCGGGAGACCGCACGACCCUGCAAACCCUAUCCGGAGCAACACCGAUUGAGGAGUAGGCUUUGAGCCUUGCGCUUGCUCGGCGAAUUCCUCGAAGGGUGGCUUGAGCCUGUUGGCAACGGCAGGCCUAGAAAGAUAAUUGCCUUAAAAGACAGAACUCGGCUUACAGGUCUGCUCACACU